UGGGGAAUAUUGCACAAUGGGGGAAACCCUGAUGCAGCGACGCCGCGUGAGUGAAGAAGUAAUUCGUUAUGUAAAGCUCUAUCAGCAGGGAAGAGAAUGACGGUACCUGAGUAAGAAGCCCCGGCUAACUACGUGCCAGCAGCCGCGGGAAUACGUAGGGGGCAAGCGUUAUCCGGAUUUACUGGGUGUAAAGGGAGCGUAGACGGCUUGGCAAGUCUGAAGUGAAAGCCCGCGGCUCAACCGCGGAACUGCUUUGGAAACUUUUAAGCUGGAGUAUCGGAGAGGUAAGCGGAAUUCCUAGUGUAGCGGUGAAAUGCGUAGAUAUUAGGAGGAACACCAGUGGCGAAGGCGGCUUACUGGACGAUAACUGACGUUGAGGCUCGAAAGCGUGGGGAGCAAACAGG
rnacentral:rRNA from 1 species